UAGGGAAUCUUCCGCAAUGGGCGAAAGCCUGCCGGAGCAACGCCGCGUGAGUGAUGAAGGUCUUCGGAUCGUAAAACUUUGUUAUUAGGGAAGAACAAAUGUGUAAGUAACUAUGCACGCUUCGACGGUACCUAAUCAGAAAGCCACGGCUAACUACGUGCCAGCAGCCGCGGUAAUACGUAGGUGGCAAGCGUUAUCCGGAAUUAUUGGGCGUAAAGCGCGCGUAGGCGGUUUUUUAAGUCUGGUGUGAAAGCCCACGGCUAAACCGUGGAGGGUCAUUAGAAGCUUGUAAGCUUGAGUGCAGAAGGGGAAAGUGGAAAUCCAUUUGUCGCGGUGAAAUGCGCAGAGUUAUGGAUGAACACCAGUGGCGAAGGCGACUUUCAGUUCUGUAACUGACUCUAAUGUGCGAAAGCGUGGGGCUCAAACAGG
rnacentral:rRNA from 1 species